UACGAAGGGGGGCUAGCGUUGCUCGGAAUCACUGGGCGUAAAGGGUGCGUAGGCGGGUCUUUUAAGUCAGGGGUGAAAUCCUGGAGUUCAACUCCAGAACUGCCUUUGAUACUGAAGAUCUUGAGUUCGGGAGAGGUGAGUGGAACUGCGAGUGUAGAGGUGAAAUUCGUAGAUAUUCGCAAGAACACCAGUGGCGAAGGCGGCUCACUGGCCCGAUACUGACGCUGAGGCACGAAAGCGUGGGGAGCAAACAGG
rnacentral:rRNA from 1 species